AUACCGGAGAAUGUUAUCACGGGAAACACACGGCGGGUGCUAACGUCCGUCGUGAAGAGGGAAACAACCCAGACCGCCAGCUAAGGUCCCAAAGUCAUGGUUAAGUGGGAAACGAUGUGGGAAGGCCCAGACAGCCAGGAUGUUGGCUUAGAAGCAGCCAUCAUUUAAAGAAAGCGUAAUAGCUCACUGGUCGAGUCGGCCUGCGCGGAAGAUGUAACGGGGCUAAACCAUGCACCGAAGCUGCGGCAGCGAACGUAUCACUUAAAGCGAUUCAGCGGGUUACGAUUGACGGAGCGAAGCGACGUCAAAGCGUAUACAAAGUCGAGUCGGUUUAAGGAUACGUUCGUUGGGUAGGGGAGCGUUCUGUAAGCCUGUGAAGGUGGCCUGUGAGGGUUGCUGGAGGUAUCAGAAGUGCGAAUGCUGACAUAAGUAACGAUAAAGCGGGUGAAAAGCCCGCUCGCCGGAAGACCAAGGGUUCCUGUCCAACGUUAAUCGGGGCAGGGUGAGUCGACCCCUAAGGCGAGGCCGAAAGGCGUAGUCGAUGGGAAACGGGUUAAUAUUCCCGUACUUGGUGUUACUGCGAAGGGGGGACGGAGAAGGCUAUGUUGGCCGGGCGACGGUUGUCCCGGUUUAAGCGUGUAGGUGUGUGUUCCAGGUAAAUCCGGUU
rnacentral:rRNA from 1 species